rnacentral:lncRNA from 1 species
UUGACUGGAAAUAUAAACGAUGUUGUAUAUAAUGCAGAUAGCUUAGGCGAAAAAGAGAUUGGUGAAAUGGAGAAUGAGACUAACUACGGUG